rnacentral:rRNA from 1 species
ACUAUUCUUGAGCGCUCGUUUGCGGCACAGUCGCAGGCUCGUGUAUCUGGGCUCCGUCGCCAACUUGGGGAGUGUCAGAAGCUUGACUCCACCGCCACUGAGUUCUACAACAAAGUCAAGAGUCUCGCCGACACGCUGGCCUCCAUUGGACAACCCCUCACCGACUCCGAGUUCAACUCGUUUAUUGUCAAUGGUCUUGAUGAGGAGUAUGACGCCCUAGUCGAGAUCAUCAAUGAGAGGGGCAACUCCACGCCCAUGCCAGCACACGAGGUCUUUUCACGCCUCCUGCUUACUGAGCAACAAGUCGAGACGCGCCGCUCCAGGGGCAACGGCGCCCUCUCGGCAAACGCCGCCACCAAGGGUGGUCGCUCCUCUGCUUCAUCCAGGGCUCCUUCGGGGCAGUCACCACCACCCGCCUUGGCCCCUCCUCCUACUGCGACGCUACCAGGGGCUGGCGGUCCACGUGUGUGCCAGCUUUGUGGUCGCGAUGGGCACUGGGCCUCGAAGUGUCACAAGCGCUUCCAGCGGGGUUUUCUUGGUCUCGGCAAUGACGGGAAGGAUACACGCAACUUUGCUCGUCAGGUCGCCAUGGCUGAUCGUCCGCCGCCGCAAAAGCCACAGGGACACACUCAGUCCUACUCCAUUGAUCCCCACUGGUACAUGGACUCUGGGGCGACAGAGCACCUGACCAGUGAGAUGGGGAAGCUUCACACUCGUGAACCCUACCAUGGCUCCGACAAGAUCCACACCGCCAAUGGAGCAGGUAUGCACAUCUCUCAUAUUGGUCAAGCAUCACUUCUCACUAGACAUGCCAAUAGGAGUCUUCAACUUCGCAAUGUUCUUCGAGUUCCAUCUGUGACACGUAAUCUUCUUUCAGUUUCUAAACUCACUCGUGAUAAUAAUGUGCUUUGUGAAUUUCAUCCUUUUGAUCUUUUUAUUAAGGAUCGGGGCACGAGGGACAUUCUUCUUAGUGGGCGGCUCUGCCAAGGUCUCUAUCGUCUGGAGCAUCCUGGCGUCGCUCGCGUGUUCAGUGGAGUUCGGGUAUCUCCGUCACAGUGGCAUGCUCGUCUUGGUCACCCGGUCACACCUAUUGUCCGGCAUGUUUUGCGUCGUCAUGAGCUUCCUAGUGUGUCUAGUAAUAAAGAUGUAGCAGUGUGUGAUACUUGUCAGCAGGGGAAAAGUCAUCAACUUCCUUUUUCGGAGUCCAGUCGUGAGGUGAAACAUCCUUUAGAACUUGUGUUUUCAGAUGUAUGGGGUCCUGCUCAGACUUCUGUUAGUGGUCAUAAUUACUAUAUCAGUUUUGUUGAUGCUUACAGCCGCUUUACCUGGCUUUAUCUUAUCAAACGUAAAUCUGAUGUGUUUGACAUUUUUGUUCAGUUCCAAAAACAUGUUGAACGCCUUCUCAAGCACAAAAUUGUUCAUGUUCAGUCGGACUGGGGUGGCGAGUAUCGUAACCUCAACUCCUACUUUCAGUCGCUUGGGAUCACUCACCGUUUAGCAUGUCCACAUACACAUCAGCAGAAUGGUUCAGUAGAAUGUAAGCAUCGUCACAUUGUUGAAGCUGGUCUGACUCUUUUGGCCCAUGCAUCUGUUCCGUUUCGUUUUUGGAGUGAUGCUUUCACCACUGCAUGUUUUCUCAUCAAUCGUACUCCCACUCGUGUUUUGAAUAUGAAGACUCCCAUUGAAGUUCUCCUUAAUGAACAACCGGACUACACCUUUCUCAAGGUGUUUGGGUGUGCUUGCUGGCCCCAUCUCCGUCCAUAUAACAAGCGUAAGCUCGAGUUUCGUUCCAAGAAGUGUGUUUUUCUUGGUUAUAGCUCUCUUCAUAAAGGAUACAAAUGUCUUCAUGUGCCCACUAAUCGUGUCUACAUCUCUCGGGAUGUUGUGUUUGAUGAGCAUGUUUUUUCCUUUGCCAAACUCCCUGUGUCCACUACCGAGCCACCUGUCAUGCAUUCCUCCUCUGUUGCUUCUGACCAAUUUGAUGAUGUUGCAUAUUCUCCUCUAUUGUUGCCUAACCAUGGUGCAGGCACUGGUCGUGGGGCUCGUUUGGAGAUUCUGGAAGUGACAUCUUCCUCUUCGUCGCCAUCGCCUUCAUCCUCGGCACCUUCUGUUGUGCAUGAGGAGCACAUGGCGCCCCUGCAUGGCCUCGGGUUCCGUGCUCAUGCACGGCCGAUCGACGUCCUGGCCCGGUCGCCUCUGGCUUCUGGGCUGCCUUCGCCAUCGUCGCGCCCUGCAACCCCGCCGACUGGGCCGGCCUCCUCGGUCCCCGUCUCGCCCAGGGCGUCGGGGCAGUCAUCACCCGGCCUGGCCUCGCCCGCCCCUGCCUCGCCCAGGGUGUCUGGUCCCUUCUCACCAGGGCCGGCCUCGCCUGCUCUCGCCUCGCCAAGGCCGUCUGGGCCGGUGUCACCGGAGCUGGCCUCGCCCACUCUCGGUUCGCCCAUGGCCUCUGAGCCCCUGUCGUCGGGCCAGUCUUCGCCAUGCAGCCCGGAGUCGUCUGUCCCGAGCUCGCCUGAGGUGAUUCCUGCAUCUCCGGCGACCGUCACGUCUCCGUCACCUUCGCCUCCGCCGGCUCCUGCUGCUGCUCUACGUCCACAUACGCGCAGUCGGAGUGGCAUUUUUCAGCCUAAGCAACGUCACGAUGGCACAGUUGCUUGGUUAGCAGCGUGCAUGUCUGCUGCUCUCGCAGAUCCAUCCUUUGAGCCACGCACGUAUCAAGCUGCUAUGUGCAUUCCUCAUUGGAGAGAGGCCAUGGAGCAGGAGUAUCAAGCGCUUCUUCGCAAUCAGACAUGGACUCUUGUUCCUCCACAAUCACGGGUAAAUGUCAUUGAUUCCAAAUGGGUUUUCAAAGUGAAGAGGCAUUCUGAUGGGUCCAUUGAGCGCUAUAAGGCUCGUCUGGUUGCUCGUGGUUUUCGACAGCGUUUUGGACUUGACUAUGAAGACACCUUCAGUCCAGUGGUCAAGCCU